rnacentral:rRNA from 1 species
AUACGGAGGGUGCGAGCGUUACUCGGAGUCACUGGGCGUAAAGCGUCCGUAGGCGGUCGGGUAAGUCGGGUGUGAAAGCCCCGGGCUCAACCUGGGAAGUGCACCCGAUACUGCUCGACUCGAGUGCGGGAGAGGAUGGCGGUAUUCCCGGUGUAGCGGUGAAAUGCGUAGAGAUCGGGAGGAACACCAGUGGCGAAGGCGGCCAUCUGGCCCGCAACUGACGCUGAGGGACGAAAGCGUGGGGAGCAAACAGGAUUAGAAACCCCAGUAGUCC